UACGUAGGGUGCAAGCGUUGUCCGGAAUUAUUGGGCGUAAAGAGCUCGUAGGCGGUUCGUCGCAUCGGCUGUGAAAACCUGAGGCUCAACCUCAGGCCUGCAGUCGAUACGGGCGGACUUGAGUACUGCAGGGGAGACUGGAAUUCCUGGUGUAGCGGUGAAAUGCGCAGAUAUCAGGAGGAACACCGGUGGCGAAGGCGGGUCUCUGGGCAGUAACUGACGCUGAGGAGCGAAAGCGUGGGGAGCGAACAGG
rnacentral:rRNA from 1 species